CCAGCUGUCAGGUGUGGAGAGUCUUUUUAACUGUGACGUCUCCUGCUCCUCCCUAGGUAGAGCCUCAGGCAUGACAAGUCUGAAAGUUCAGCACUCAGCUCACUUCCAAGUCCAUCAGAGCUCUUAAGUUGCUCUUCAGCCUAAACCUCCUGAAACAACCAGUCUGUCCAGGCUGCUGCAAGACCUCCUGGCAGGUCUUUCUCCCCAAGAAGGAAUAUGUAGAAAAGGAGAUCAGCCACAAGCUGCUGGGGUUUGCAUACACCACUCAUGAAGGAGAGUAUCUGCCCUGCUUGCAGGCCAAGAGCUGUUCCUUGCAAGUGCAUCCACAUGGCUGGACUCUCAGCAUGUGGAAACCCAGUCCCAGGCAUUAGCCCAGAAGUUAUUUAAACAAGAAACAUCUUUAUUCUUUCCAUGCUCAUUAUUAAAAUAAAACACCCUUCUGAAUUUUAAUAAGACCCAUUCACUCCCUGCCUGGUUUUACAGCACCACCCUCUUAUCUAGAUAGUUUUUCCUAAUGUCAAACCUAAAUUUUAUUAUCUGCAAAUAAAGCUGGUUCUUUCUUUCCCUAUCCCUCAGCAAGCAUGGGGAAAGAUUUAUCACCAUCCUCCUUACAAUGAACUUUAAAAUAUUGCAAGAUUUUUAUCACAGCUCUUCUUUAGACUCUGCUGUUCCCAGACUAAACAAACAAUCCUUUCAACAUUUCCUCCUAGGUUGUUCCUUCUAUGCCUCUGAUAUUUCUAGUGUGUCUCUCCUGGACUCUCUCCAGUUUGUCUACAUUUUUCUUUACAGCACAGUACCCAAAACUGGACACUCUAUUCCAGCUGAGGCCUCACCGGUGCCAAGUGGAGUAGAAUAAUUAUCUCCUAUGUCUUAGGUUGCAGUCUCACAUCCUGUUCUGCCUGCAGCUGAGCUGGGUGAAAAGUUUAUUUCUUUUCACCCACUCCAGCUGCUUAUCACCACCCCCCAGCUGCAGGCUCUCCCCCUCCCAGGUCAGCAGCGUCACUGCCGGGGGAUUGCUCCAAACACAAUCCGGGUGAACAGUCCAGGUUAGAGACAAUAAUUCAAAUAACAGGGCAUUCCUGAUCACCAAUUCAGCAGUCCCAGGUGAAGCUGAGGAUAAACAGGUUUGAAAAAGGUGGGAGGGGAUGAUGAGCAACAAGGUAAUGGACAGCAGCUUUCACAGCUGGAGGAACUGCAGCCAGGAAGGGACCUGAUAUUGUCCUUACCCUCAGCCUUUUGUCCCCUCUGCACCCUCAGUCCCUCCUGAUGCUGCUGCCCAGCUGGAAAAUCCUCUUUCUGUAUUUCUCCUCCCAGACUGCUGUAGCUUGCACUUCAUCAUCAGGCUAACUUUAUAACAUUUUUCCUCAUUAUCAAUGCUCUUCUAAACUGUUUUAUUGUCCUGAGUAAGGCCACCCCAAACAAGUCUCUUGUGAGCACAUCCCUUGUUCUCACACCCAAGGUGGUUAUGAAAAGGAUGGAGAGGAGAACAUUGAGGUUUGGCUGAAAAGCUGUCCUGGUGUGGCAGCAAUACUUUCACAGCCAUCACCUACAGAUCCUCAUCCACUCCUGCACCACCUCAGAGUGACAGUUUUGUGUCUGCUCACAGCCCUUCUCUGAACAGGGUCACAAGGCUCACCAGUGUCACAGAGAAAAUUCCUGUUGCCUUCUUCCACUUGCUCUGCCUAUAGAGAACACCUGGCAGGACCCCAUAUGGGCUUUUCCCACUGACCCCAGAAAUACAGCCAGACAAUAUAGAAAUACUGCACUGAUUAGACCGAGGAUGAGCCUUUCUUUGCUUCUGCAGAGAUACAACGGUGGCCUGAGCUGGCUGCUGAUCUGUCUUGCAGAUUUUCUGCUCCCCUGCAAAACAGUGUUUUGUGCUCUGAAGAAUGAAGACUUGGGGAAACAACCAUCCUGUGAGGUCUAAGGGCAUUUCUACACCAGGACCACCAGCCACAGUGAGAACAUUUGGUGACAUCAUGACCCUGGGUAACUCCCUCCCACAGCUGACAUUUCCUUCUGCUGUUUAAAUAGAGUUACACCCAUUCUGCUUUAUUGCCUUCAGCUCUGGGUAUACCUUCAUCCCACCCUUUGCUUAUCCAUUCAUCCUGUCCCUGUCCAUCCUCAUUCUGUUUUUUUCCUGUUGCCUACUUUCCAUCUCCUUCCAUUGAAACUUCCCACCAACAGCUUCCUUGUUUUCUCAGGCUCCUCUGUGCCACCUCUCCAUUCUCCUGGCCCCACCACAGCCCCCAGUAGCCGCAGGCAGGCUCUGCCCUGCCCGGACACAGCUGUGGGGACUCUGUUCAUGCCACAAAUCCCCUCUUUUCUCAGGCUCUGUGGGAGCUGAGGGUUGGGAACUGCAAGCUCAUGGCAGGCUGAAGUAAUAGGAGUAGAGAUGAGGUGAAGUUCUUGUUCUGUCUUGAACACAGACUGCCAAUCAUGCCAUAAUAGAUGGUGGUUCUAGGCAGGGAACAGCUUUUCAGCCCACCAAAAUUACACCAUUAAAUGGAAUUUCCUCUAUGGGCUAAUCAGGAUUUGAACCCAUUUCUCUGGAGAUAAAAGGCACAGCUCAAUCUCCUGGUUUGCGAGGUCAUCUGGAAUACAAAUCAACUUUCAUGUAUUCGCUUGAAAUGUUUUUAUGUAAAGGAUAUAUUUUUUUUAAUCUCCUUGUUAGUGCCUUGUGCCUAAACUGGAGCUGCGAAGUGACUUUUUCUCACUAGAGGCUAAAUAAAGUACUGUACUGUUUUUAUAAAUGUCCUAAGCUUUGCCAGAAGGCUGGCAAUGAAAGAGGCUGGCAGGAGACAGGCAGUGUCUCUGUUCUGUAUCACGGAAGUGAGCCCAAGGACACCGGCCAGUGCCUCCCAUCCGCGGGAACGCCACCAAUUAACGCACGGGUGAUGUCAUGGAUGGCAAAGGCACUUCCCUCGCAGCUCUCCCUGCUCUGCCAGCUCCAACCUUCAGUGUAUUUUCCUCAGUCUGGUCCAUGUACUGUAGUAACUAAGUCAACUGGAAAAAAUAUUGAAGAAAAGAGUGAGGAAAAACAGUGUAGGGGCAGCUGGAGCCAGCAAAGAAGGCACACUGAGAGCUAUAAAGACGCUUUGUGCAGCAGCUUCUCUCAACUUCAGGAUAUUUAGUUCCACAGGAGUUGGAGAAGAUGGGUAAUAAGCUGGCCUUUAUUUUAAGGGAUAUCCCUUGUAGUCUCAGCUGCAUAAAGAUCACUCUUUGGGCAUGUGGAAACAGUGCUAACAGUAUCUCUCUUUCAGUACCUCCUGCUGCUCACUCCAUUGAAUGGCCUUGUUCCAGCUAGAGAGGAAAAAAACCUUCCAUCCCUAAACAGCCAUCGGUCUGAGGGAAAGGAGGUGAUGAAAAGAGGCUGCAAGUGAUGAAGUGAAGUAAUUAUUUAUAGAAAGAUACAUGACCACUGCACUCAGGUGCCUGCACAGGAACAGGGCCCAGCACUGCUCAUCCUGGAUGCAAGGGAGAUGUGUCUGUGCCUUCCCUGACCCAAAACAGGCAAGGGGAGCACUCCUCUGGGCUUCAGGCACACGAACCACACUGUGCACGGGGUCAGGGAGCGCCAUGGAUGUGGCACGAGGCUGCUUCAAGAUUCAGCAAGGUGAGGCUCAGGGAGGGAUGCAGCCAGGCUCAGAUGUAGCUGCAGCAUCACUCAGGCACAGACUCGGGGUGGGAGCUGGAGAGCAGCUCUGGAGAGAAGGGGUCAGCUGCCAGUGGGACUUCUCCCAGCUCCUCCCACACGGUCUCUUCCCAGCAGCCUGCUCCCAGGCUGCAGCCACAGCACAGCUGAGCUGGCCUGGAGCACUGGCAGCCAAACCUCAGAGAGGGAAAUGGUCUUAGAGGCAGUCAGUGCACCCAGGUCUGUGUGUACCUGUGUAACCGCUCAAGGAACUGGCCUAAAGUGGAGACCACUCUGUAAAAACGGUGAGCUGAGACAUCCAAAUGGAGUUGAGAUAUCCAAAUGGAGUCAAGACAUCAAAUGGCCAUGUGCCACUGGGUUAUGGAUGUAUUUGCAAAUUGGUUCUGUGUUUGUGAACCAAUACAUGCAGUGCUGAUGAUGCAUCUAUAAAAAUUCAAAUUGGCUUCAUGUGACUGUGAAUCAGUACAUGCUGAUAGUGUAUAGAUACAAAUUACAACUGGUCCUGUGUCUUUGUGAAUCAAUAUCCGUCAUGCUGAUUAGAUCCAUCCAAGUUCUUUUAUUUUGUAGCUGAUGGGGAGAGCCAAGCUUUGAGCAGGGAUAGGAGGAAGAAGUAGCCCGAUAGGCAUUGAGCAGAAUGUCCCAGGGACCAAUGUGUUAAAUUGAUCAGAAAACAAGUUUAAAAUUUUACUUGGAAAGAAAUUCAGAAUAAAAUUGCCUCGAAUGUAUCACAAGGGAAGGUGCUUUGCAGUGUUCUGUUGUGCUAGGCAAGCCAGCAAAUGUUCACACUUCCUUUUAACCACAGUCACCUGCACACACUUAGAGAACAUUUUUCUACCCUCAUCAUUUUGCUCCCAAGCCUUUGCUUUUCUGUUCUACCUCCAUUACAAAACUGGCUUCAAACCAUCUCCCAAGUCCGAUGUGACAGAGAUGAAGAGCAAAGAGAUGCCAGAUUGCUGGUGGGGGCUCUGGCUGACUGGGAUUACUGGUAGCUGGAAUGUGCUAAAACAAAGGGAGAGCAAAGGAGCCCAGGUUUUUCAGAUGGAAUCAGGAGGCUCCAGGGGACUUAUCUCUGCCUUGUGAAACACUUUGCAGGUCUUCCAACUGGUAAAAUGUAAAGUGACACUAAGUGAAAUAAACUACUUUAUAAUUCAGCAAUAA